GUAGAGUACAAGUGUCUUAGACCUUCAAGACUGUACAAUAAUGAAGAUUGCUGUUCUUUUUGUCAUUAGCUGCUUCAUUGCUACUGCUUAUAGCAACAGCAUAAGCAUCAGAGGGAUUCAAGAAGAGAAAGUGGUUGCUGAUGGCACAAAAACUCAAACAAGAUGCACAUGUACAAAAGAUAAAUGUACAUUAAGCGAUGGAUCCUACACAUGCACUGGAGAAGAUGUAUGUGACUGCAAUUCUGGACUUACUGACUACUGUAUAUGUACUGAGAAAUACUGUGCAGGAAAUAUUAUACUGGUCUGUGCGUCAAAUAAAGGAGCUUGUAAAUGCACUGUAUAACAAGCCACUGGGAAGCAAUUAAAAAUGGACACUAAUACAUGUACAUACAUGUACAUUAUUACUAAUUUAUUUCAAAACUUGGCUAUAUAUUUACAAUGGUAGUGUCAAUAUUAAUAGAUAUUGUAUCUAUAUUAUUUGAUUAUAAAACAAUUAAAAGUUGGGAGUUACCUUAAAGCCA